AUUGAACGCUGGCGGCAGGCCUAACACAUGCAAGUCGAGCGGAAGAACGGUGCUUGCUUGCGGUUCCAGCGGGGGAAGGGGGUGAGAGGCAUGGGAAUAUCCUUGGCUGCGGUGUAGAACGUCCUGAAGCAGGCGCGAAUACUGCAUAAGCGCAGACGGCGUAAGUGGGGGAGCGUCGGACCUUACGCCCUCACGUGAGUGUAGGCCGGGAUAGCUAGUUGGUGGGGUGAAGGGCUACCAAGCCGACGAUGCGUAGCUGGUCGGCGUGGAUGAUCGGCCACACUGGAGCUGGGACACGGUCCAGGCUCCUACGGGAGGGCGCAGUGGGGAAUAUGAGACAAUGGGCGGGAGCCUGGUCCAGCCAUCCCGCGUGUGUGAAGAAGGUCUUCGGUUUGUAAAGCACUUUUUGUGGGAAGGAAGCGCAGUAGGUUAAUACCUUGCUGUUUUGACGUUACCGACAGAAUAAGCACCGGCUAACUUCGUG
rnacentral:rRNA from 1 species